rnacentral:rRNA from 1 species
UACGAAGGGUGCAAGCGUUACUCGGAAUUACUGGGCGUAAAGCGUGCGUAGGUGGUUUGUUAAGUCUGUUGUGAAAGCCCCGGGCUCAACCUGGGAAUGGCAAUGGAUACUGGCAAGCUAGAGUGCGGUAGAGGGUAGUGGAAUUCCCGGUGUAGCGGUGAAAUUCGUAGAUAUUGGGAAGAACACCGGUGGCGAAGGCGGCUCACUGGCUCGUAACUGACGCUCAGGCGCGACAGCGUGGGGAUCAAACAGG